UACGUAGGGGGCAAGCGUUGUCCGGAAUCAUUGGGCGUAAAGCGCGUGUAGGCGGUCCGGUAAGUCCGCUGUGAAAGUCGGGGGCUCAACCCUCGGAUGCCGGUGGAUACUGUCGGGCUUGAGUACGGAAGAGGCGAGUGGAAUUCCUGGUGUAGCGGUGAAAUGCGCAGAUAUCGGGAGGAACACCAAUGGCGAAGGCAGCUCACUGGGACGGUACUGACGCUGAGACGCGAAAGCGUGGGGAGCAAACAGG
rnacentral:rRNA from 1 species